rnacentral:rRNA from 1 species
UACGUAGGGGGCUAGCGUUGUCCGGAAUCAUUGGGCGUAAAGAGCGUGUAGGCGGCCCGGUAAGUCCGCUGUGAAAGUCGGGGGCUCAACCCUCGAAAGCCGGUGGAUACUGUCGGGCUAGAGUGCGGAAGAGGCGAGUGGAAUUCCUGGUGUAGCGGUGAAAUGCGUAGAUAUCGAAGAGGAACACCUGCGGCGAAGGCGGGUUGCUGGGCCGAUACUGACGCUGAGGAGCGAAAGCGUGGGGAGCGAACAGG